rnacentral:rRNA from 1 species
AUUGAACGCUGGCGGCAUGCCUUACACAUGCAAGUCGAACGGUAACGCGGGGCAACCUGGCGACGAGUGGCGAACGGGUGAGUAAUGCAUCGGAACGUGCCCAGUAGUGGGGGAUAGCCCGGCGAAAGCCGGAUUAAUACCGCAUACGACCUACGGGUGAAAGCGGGGGACCGUAAGGCCUCGCGCUGUUGGAGCGGCCGAUGUCAGAUUAGGUAGUUGGUGGGGUAAAGGCCUACCAAGCCUUCGAUCUGUAGCUGGUCUGAGAGGACGACCAGUUACACUGGGACUGAGACACGGCCCAGACUCCUACGGGAGGCAGCAGUGGGGAAUUUUGGACAAUGGGCGCAAGCCUGAUCCAGCCAUGCCGCGUGCGGGAAGAAGGCCUCGGUUGUAACCGCUUUGUCUAGGAGAACGACUCCGGCGUAAUACCCUGGGUAAGUGACGAUACCUGAAGAAUAAGCACCGGCUAACUACGUGCCAGCAGCCGCGGU